GGUAUGUCUUCGGAGAUGAUGACACGAUUUUUUUCCCUGAGAAUUUUGGUGAAGAUACUUUCAAAGUAUGAUCGUGGUCUGUGAUACUACAUUGGGUCAAACUCCAAAGUUUACGAGCAAAAUAGGGUAUUCAGAUUGGAAUGGCUUAUGGUGGUGCAGGUUUCGCUACAAGUCCCCGUUGGCAAAAGUACUGGCGAAGGUGUUUGAUUCGUGUUUAGAACGAUAUCCGCAUCUCUAUGGAAGCAACUCUAGGAUUUCCUCUUGCUUGGCAGAGCUCGGCGUUGGAUUAACACGCAAACCCGAUUUCCAUCAGGUACUAUUUGUUGAGAAUAAAUCUCACAUUGAUAGAAUGAGGGAUCUUGCAAGGGCUUUUAAGUAAGUUGGACUAAUCUCUAUUAUCAAUUGAUUUUACGGUGGAACCUCAACUUUUUUUUGGUAUUAGAGCAGAUUGGCUAACAUGUGAAGCCCAACGGCCAAACGUGCUCCACAUCACACAAUUUGUGUGUUCACGUAUUUGGCUUGAAAAUUCGCCAUACAUGAGAGGGCGUGUGAGAAUGUAAAGAUAAAAGAGUCUCAUGAAAGGAGAAACCUUGCAAGUUUGGGCUACUCGUACAACUAAUUUGUUUUAUAGUGGAACCUCAACUUUCUUUACCCUUUUCUUAGCUCAUCAAAUCAAAUAUGACAUUCACAUUUUAGUAGUUUUAAUUUGAAAUAUCCGUGGGCUUUUUGUUUGUUUCUAUAUCAAAGAAACAAUAUUUUGGUUUUGGGUUGGAAAAUUGAAACAGAAUGACAUUCACGGCGAUAUGUUUGGUCUGGUGGCUUCGCAUCCAGUGACACCUUUGGUAUCCCUGCAUCAAAACAGGAGUUUAUACUUUUAACACAAGAGAACAUCACAAGGAUCCGUGUCGAAGGCCGGUUGUUUUCUUUCUGGAUAAUGUGUCUUCUGGUGCAGAUAGAAUCAAGAGCAUCUACAAGAAAUCUUAUGAAAAUUGCUUCUACGACAUGGCUUCUCCGAGGAAGCUGGAGGAGGUCAGAGUGUACUCGCAUAAGCUGAACUUUGAUAUGAAAUAGUUGCAGGCGCCGCCAAGGCAAUGUUGCGAUGUAUUAUACCUUCUUCGGGCAGCAAGGUGAUGGAAAUUGAAAUCAGAGAAUGCAAAGAAGAAGAACUAAUCCAUAUGCAUCCGUAGGGGUGUUUCGUAUUCGCAUAUAGCUGGAUUAAUUAUACAGCAAUAUUAUACCAUACAGAUCAUGUAAUAUGUAUGCCAUAAAUCACGAAUUAUUGUAGAUGUUAGGGAAAUUAAUACUACUUAAUAGUCUAAUCCGAUGUAAAUUAUGAAUGCCGUUGUAUUCGACAUUGAAAUCUGUUGUCUCGAAUUCGACUGAUUUCUUGGAUGGA